AUUGAACGCUGGCGGUAUGCUUAACACAUGCAAGUCGAACGGUAGCAGGUCUUCGGAUGCUGACGAGUGGCGGACGGGUGAGUAACGCGUAGGAAUCUGCCUAUUAGUGGGGGACAACGUGUGGAAACGCACGCUAAUACCGCAUACGCCCUACGGGGGAAAGGAGGGGAUCUUCGGACCUUUCGCUAAUAGAUGAGCCUGCGUAGGAUUAGCUAGUUGGUGGGGUAAAGGCUCACCAAGGCGACGAUCCUUAGCUGUUCUGAGAGGAAGAUCAGCCACACUGGGACUGAGACACGGCCCAGACUCCUACGGGUGGCUG
rnacentral:rRNA from 1 species